UUUGACUAUACGAAGGUAUUGAAAUAAGAUUUUAAAUGAGUGCUAAGAGAAUGAUUAAACAAUUAAAAGCUUUCUUUAAUUGAAUAAUUGAAUUUAAUUUUUUAGUGCAAAAGCAAAAAUAAAAAUUAGGGACAAGAAGACCCUAUGAAUUUUUUAUUAAAUUUUAUAAAACUUUAUAUAAAAUUUAAUUUAAUUGGGGUGAUGGAAAAAGAAUAAAUAUCUUUUUUUAAAGAAAAUUGGUUCCGUUUUUAGCGAUUAAAUGAAAAAAAUACUCUAGGGAUAACAGCGUAAUAAUUUUGGAUAGUUCAUAUAGAUAAAAUAGUUUGCGACCUCGAUGUUGGAUUAGGAU
rnacentral:rRNA from 1 species